UACGGAGGGUGCAAGCAUUAAUCGGAUUUAUUGGGCGUAAAGGGCGCGUAGGCGGCCAUGGAAGUCAGAUGUGAAAUUUUUGGGCUCAACCCGGAAACAGCAUUUGAAACUCCAUGACUAGAGGGUAGGCGGAGAAAACAGAAUUCCACAAGUAGCGGUGAAAUGCGUAGAUAUGUGGAAGAAUACCGGUGGCGAAGGCGGUUUUCUAGCUUAAACCUGACGCUAAAGCGCGAAAGCAAGGGGAUCAAACAGG
rnacentral:rRNA from 1 species